rnacentral:rRNA from 1 species
CAGCCGCCGCGGGAAUACGAAGGGGGCUAGCGUUGCUCGGAAUGACUGGGCGUAAAGGGCGCGUAGGCGGCCUGCAUAGUCAGAUGUGAAAUUCCUGGGCUUAACCUGGGGGCUGCAUUUGAUACGUGUGAGCUUGAGUGGGGAAGAGGGUCGUGGAAUUCCCAGUGUAGAGGUGAAAUUCGUAGAUAUUGGGAAGAACACCGGUGGCGAAGGCGGCGACCUGGUCCUUUACUGACGCUGAGGCGCGAAAGCGUGGGGAGCAAACAGGAUUAGAUACCCCUGUAGUCCCUGUCUCUUAUAC